UGUGAGCUCGAUGAGUAGGGCGGGACACGUGGUAUCCUGUCUGAAUAUGGGGGGACCAUCCUCCAAGGCUAAAUACUCCUGACUGACCGAUAGUGAACCAGUACCGUGAGGGAAAGGCGAAAAGAACCCCGGCGAGGGGAGUGAAAAAGAACCUGAAACCGUGUACGUACAAGCAGUGGGAGCACGCUUAGGCGUGUGACUGCGUACCUUUUGUAUAAUGGGUCAGCGACUUAUAUUCUGUAGCAAGGUUAACCGAAUAGGGGAGCCGAAGGGAAACCGAGUCUUAACUGGGCGUUAAGUUGCAGGGUAUAGACCCGAAACCCGGUGAUCUAGCCAUGGGCAGGUUGAAGGUUGGGUAACACUAACUGGAGGACCGAACCGACUAAUGUUGAAAAAUUAGCGGAUGACUUGUGGCUGGGGGUGAAAGGCCAAUCAAACCGGGAGAUAGCUGGUUCUCCCCGAAAGCUAUUUAGGUAGCGCCUCGUGAAUUCAUCUCCGGGGGUAGAGCACUGUUUCGGCAAGGGGGUCAUCCCGACUUACCAACCCGAUGCAAACUGCGAAUACCGGAGAAUGUUAUCACGGGAGACACACGGCGGGUGCUAACGUCCGUCGUGAAGAGGGAAACAACCCAGACCGCCAGCUAAGGUCCCAAAGUCAUGGUUAAGUGGGAAACGAUGUGGGAAGGCCCAGACAGCCAGGAUGUUGGCUUAGAAGCAGCCAUCAUUUAAAGAAAGCGUAAUAGCUCACUGGUCGAGUCGGCCUGCGCGGAAGAUGUAACGGGGCUAAACCAUGCACCGAAGCUGCGGCAGCGACGCUUAUGCGUUGUUGGGUAGGGGAGCGUUCUGUAAGCCUGUGAAGGUGUGCUGUGAGGCAUGCUGGAGGUAUCAGAAGUGCGAAUGCUGACAUAAGUAACGAUAAAGCGGGUGAAAAGCCCGCUCGCCGGAAGACCAAGGGUUCCUGUCCAACGUUAAUCGGGGCAGGGUGAGUCGACCCCUAAGGCGAGGCCGAAAGGCGUAGUCGAUGGGAAACAGGUUAAUAUUCCUGUACUUGGUGUUACUGCGAAGGGGGGACGGAGAAGGCUAUGUUGGCCGGGCGACGGUUGUCCCGGUUUAAGCGUGUAGGCUGGUUUUCCAGGCAAAUCCGGAAAAUCAAGGCUGAGGCGUGAUGACGAGGCACUACGGUGCUGAAGCAACAAAUGCCCUGCUUCCAGGAAAAGCCUCUAAGCAUCAGGUAACAUCAAAUCGUACCCCAAACCGACACAGGUGGUCAGGUAGAGAAUACCAAGGCGCUUGAGAGAACUCGGGUGAAGGAACUAGGCAAAAUGGUGCCGUAACUUCGGGAGAAGGCACGCUGAUAUGUAGGUGAAGUCCCUCGCGGAUGGAGCUGAAAUCAGUCGAAGAUACCAGCUGGCUGCAACUGUUUAUUAAAAACACAGCACUGUGCAAACACGAAAGUGGACGUAUACGGUGUGACGCCUGCCCGGUGCCGGAAGGUUAAUUGAUGGGGUUAGCCGCAAGGCGAAGCUCUUGAUCGAAGCCCCGGUAAACGGCGGCCGUAACUAUAACGGUCCUAAGGUAGCGAAAUUCCUUGUCGGGUAAGUUCCGACCUGCACGAAUGGCGUAAUGAUGGCCAGGCUGUCUCCACCCGAGACUCAGUGAAAUUGAACUCGCUGUGAAGAUGCAGUGUACCCGCGGCAAGACGGAAAGACCCCGUGAACCUUUACUAUAGCUUGACACUGAACAUUGAGCCUUGAUGUGUAGGAUAGGUGGGAGGCUUUGAAGUGUGGACGCCAGUCUGCAUGGAGCCGACCUUGAAAUACCACCCUUUAAUGUUUGAUGUUCUAACGUUGACCCGUAAUCCGGGUUGCGGACAGUGUCUGGUGGGUAGUUUGACUGGGGCGGUCUCCUCCUAAAGAGUAACGGAGGAGCACGAAGGUUGGCUAAUCCUGGUCGGACAUCAGGAGGUUAGUGCAAUGGCAUAAGCCAGCUUGACUGCGAGCGUGACGGCGCGAGCAGGUGCGAAAGCAGGUCAUAGUGAUCCGGUGGUUCUGAAUGGAAGGGCCAUCGCUCAACGGAUAAAAGGUACUCCGGGGAUAACAGGCUGAUACCGCCCAAGAGUUCAUAUCGACGGCGGUGUUUGGCACCUCGAUGUCGGCUCAUCACAUCCUGGGGCUGAAGUAGGUCCCAAGGGUAUGGCUGUUCGCCAUUUAAAGUGGUACGCGAGCUGGGUUUAGAACGUCGUGAGACAGUUCGGUCCCUAUCUGCCGUGGGCGCUGGAGAACUGAGGGGGGCUGCUCCUAGUACGAGAGGACCGGAGUGGACGCAUCACUGGUGUUCGGGUUGUCAUGCCAAUGGCACUGCCCGGUAGCUAAAUGCGGAAGAGAUAAGUGCUGAAAGCAUCUAAGCACGAAACUUGCCCCGAGAUGAGUUCUCCCUGACUCCUUGAGAGUCCUGAAGGAACGUUGAAGACGACGACGUUGAUAGGCCGGGU
rnacentral:rRNA from 1 species